rnacentral:lncRNA from 1 species
CCACCGCCACCGCCACCACCGCAUCCACCCCCAGCUCCAGUAGCACCAGCAUCGACCCCAAUAAUCCCACCCGCUACAAUACCACCAUGAAUAUGAUGAUGAUGGUUAUUGCGAUGAAUAAAACAACCACCAUCAGAUCCGAAACUUGCUCCUACUGCUCGGCACAAUAGACUCAACAUUAAAACACAGGCGAAUAUUGAGACAGCUACGAUGAUGAAUAUUACAAAUGGUUCCAUCUUCUCAAAUAAUACUAUUUGCCCAGUUGCACGUUAAUUUAAAACAUUCUUUCAUCUUAGUUGCUUUUAUAGUCGCAAUAUGUUUACCUCGUCAACAUAGGGUCGUUUUCUUGUGCUAUUGUUUUCUUGUGUGUUUAAGGAACUAACUCGUUGAAAUGUAUGUAUAUGUUAUCGUGUUUUGUUUAUUUGUGCAACACAAGUUGCUAAUAUUGUGGCGCAUUGGUUUUGUUGAAAAUGUGCAAGAAUGUUGACAAUGUGCAAG